CUCUCGAUGCAUUCACACUCCACACUCUCCUUCAUAGGAGCUACUUCCUAUCCUCUCAGAACCCAUCCUCUCAGAUCCUAUCCUCUCAGAGCUUCUUCCUCUCUCCGUCCACGUUCUCUCCAUCACAGGAGCUUCUUUCACCGCCGCCGCUCUCUCCAUCGCUCCAUCCACGAUCUCAUCACUGACAACAACUGCCAUUUGCUGGUCAUCCUCAUCCACCGGUUCAGGUAUGAUUUUGCAUGGCUUUCAAUUUUUUAAUUCUUCUCAUCUGAAAUCAUAGUUUCUGUGCUGUUUAGGUAUGGCUUCAGGAAUCGAAACCAUUACACACUAACAAACCAACAAACCCUAACAACAAUUAUCAAUCUUACUCUCACUUUGUAAACUUGUCUGUCUCUUCGAACCCUAGUUUUUCUUUCAAGACGACUUAUGUAUUUAUUUAUUUAUUCACUCCCUAUUUCAAUUUAAUUUUGAAUGAUUUUUGUCUUCAGGAAGUGCAGCGAUUAGAAUCUUCUCUGGUUAGAUUUUCAUUGUGGUGUAUAAAUGGUAGAUGAUGAAAUUUGUACAUUUGAGGGCUGAUAUUUAGUCAAGUGAAAAAAAAAUGAAUUACUUAUUUUACUUCUUUCUUACACAGUUUGCUUUGCUUUGCAGGCUACAUAAUUCAUUGCAGAUAUUAGAGGGUGAAACCAUGUCAUUGUUUUCUUCUUCCAUUGUCUAUUUUGUGCUCCUGCUCUCUAUUAUCAUUCAUAGCCAUAGAGUUCACUCAUUUUCUAGAAAUAUGAGUUCUUGACACUGCAAGUGACAACUCAGAAGCAAUGAACUAAAAGCAAGUAGCAAAGUUUUGCAGGGAGAAACUCCACAAUUUCCAGAGCUGAUGGUUUAGGCAACAGCUACAUAAAAGGGCAUCUUUUGGAGGAGUUCACUUUUCCUAAAAAAUCAGCUCCCUUUAACAGCUGCCAUGCUUCCACCAUUGUUGAGGUUAGGAAGGGUCUUUUUUGGUUGCAUAUUAUGGGGGAACAUCUGAGGGGGCGCCUGAUGUCAAAAUAUGGCUGCAAACUUACAAGAAUGGCAAAUGGAAAUCACCUUUAAUUGCUGAUGAAGAACCAAAUGUUCCUAUGUGGAACCCUGUGUUGUUCAAAACUCCUUCAAAUGUGUUACUGCUGUUUUAUAGAAUAGGCCUUGAUGUUCAAAAAUAAUGUUUCUAACUCUCACAAUCUCCUUAUGAAGUUUUGCAUAUUUUUAGCAAGCUGCUCUAGUUAUCAUUGUGACACUAACCUAGGUUCUCAGAUAGAGGUUCAAAUUUUUAUUCUACUUUUUGUUGGUUCAUUUUUUUGAAAUUUGGUGAAGAAAAACAUAAAUGGAUUUGAUAAGCUUCAACCUGUGAUAAAGGGCUUUUAGUUUCCAAUUUUCAGGUUAAUGUUGAGCAUCAUAGUCAGCCCUUAACAUGAUUUUGAUAUCUGCAGGAAAGAGCAACUCAAC